UACGAAGGGGGCUAGCGUUGCUCGGAAUUACUGGGCGUAAAGCGUAUGCAGGCGGACUUUUAAGUCGGGGGUGAAAUCCCGAGGCUCAACCUCGGAACUGCCUUCGAUACUGGAAGUCUUGAGUCCGGGAGAGGUGAGUGGAACUCCGAGUGUAGAGGUGAAAUUCGUAGAUAUUCGGAAGAACACCAGUGGCGAAGGCGGCUCACUGGCCCGGUACUGACGCUGAGAUACGAAAGCGUGGGGAGCAAACAGG
rnacentral:rRNA from 1 species